rfam:Pelodiscus sinensis unplaced genomic scaffold scaffold281, whole genome shotgun sequence.
GAAUGGAUAGAUGAUGAUUACUACUUAGCUUGAACUCUCUCUCUGAUGAGUGAUGGAAAACCUAAGUUCUGAUCCAUUC